rnacentral:rRNA from 1 species
CAGUCGCCGCGGGAAUACAGAGGGUGCAAGCGUUAAUCGGAAUUACUGGGCGUAAAGCGCGCGUAGGUGGUUUGUUAAGUUGGAUGUGAAAGCCCCGGGCUCAACCUGGGAACUGCAUUUGUGACUGUAUAGCUAGAGUACGGCAGAGGGGGAUGGAAUUCCGCGUGUAGCAGUGAAAUGCGUAGAUAUGCGGAGGAACACCGAUGGCGAAGGCAAUCCCCUGGGCCUGUACUGACGCUCAUGCACGAAAGCGUGGGGAGCAAACAGGAUUAGAUACCCCAGUAGUCCCUGUCUCUUAUAA